CGUUGUUGGUUGACAACGAGAGAGAGCACGCCGGUCCGAGGCCCAUGCCGGCUGCCAUGGUCCAGUACUAGCGUGCUCCUUCUCGUUGUCACCCCGUUUCGCC
rnacentral:pre_miRNA from 1 species